rnacentral:rRNA from 1 species
CCUACGGGCGGCAGCAGUGAGGAAUAUUGGUCAAUGGGCGGGAGCCUGAACCAGCCAAGUCGCGUGAGGGAAGACGGUCCUAUGGAUUGUAAACCUCUUUAGGCGGGGAGCAAUGCCGGGCACGCGUGCCCGGCGGGAGAGUACCCGCAGACUAAGCCUCGGCUAACUCCGUGCCAGCAGCCGCGGUAAUCCGGAGGAUGCGAGCGUUAUCCGGAUUUAUUGGGUUUACAGGGUGCGUAGGCGGAUUUUUAAGUCAGCGGUAAAAUGUCCGGGCUCAAACCGGGCCGGCCGUUGAAACUGGGGAUCUUGAGUGGGCGAGAAGUAUGCGGAAUGCGUGGUGUAGCGGGGAAAUGCAUAGAUAUCACGCAGAACUCCGAUUGCGAAGGCAGCAUACCGGCGCCCGACUGACGCUGAGGCACGAAAGCGUGGGGAUCGAACAGGAUUAGAUACCCCUGUAGUC